CUCAUCAGUUCCACAAAGAUUCUUCAGAAACAGAGUGAUGCUAGGUUAUGCCUAGUCCAGCAGGCCCAAGUCCAAACACCCCUGGAAGUCAGAACAGGCACCAAAGACCUGUUCUUCGGUCACCAGAAAAUGAGUUCAGAAGAGGAGGCCUAAACAUACCGAUAUGUAAUAAGGAAAAACAACUACAGAAGGUCACCAUUGUAGUUCUGUCCUCGUAUCAUCUGGGUAUCUGUUACUGCCACUGCCACCUGGAACCUGGGACAAGAAAGACUAAAAACAAGGAAGGUAUACAGGAAGCUUGUGAUUUCUGCAUAUUGAUUUUGUAUCCUGAGACUUUGCUGAAGUUGCUUAUCUGUUUAAGGAGAUUUGGAACUGAGAUGAUGGAGUCUUCUAAAUAUACAAUCAUGUCAUCUACAAAGAGUGGAAAAUCCAACAAAACCUGGAGUCCUGCUUACUUCUUACUGUUCCUUGUUGCAUGGCUUACUCUCUCCCUGAAAAGAAAACUGGUGAUUUCACACAGGCUUACUUCUCCUUUGGCCUUCUCCAUCGUCUUAAAAUACAGCACAACAACCCUCAACAGAAACUGGAUCCUUGUCCUUGAACAUCCCAUCCUGAAGAACUGUGAAUGAAAUUAACCUCCUUUCUUUAUAACUUACCUUACCUCAAGUAUUCUGUUACAGCAACACUAAAUGCACUAAACAUCGCAUGGCUGAGGUACUAGCUGAUGACAUUUGUUAUCAUAGGCAGAGUUAAUUUUUA
rnacentral:lncRNA from 13 species